rnacentral:rRNA from 1 species
AUUGAACGCUGGCGGCAUGCCUUACACAUGCAAGUCGAACGGCAGCACGGGUGCUUGCACCUGGUGGCGAGUGGCGAACGGGUGAGUAAUACAUCGGAACAUACCUUAUCGUGGGGGAUAACGCAGCGAAAGCUGUGCUAAUACCGCAUACGCCCUGAGGGGGAAAGCGGGGGAUCGCAAGACCUCGCGCGAUUAGAGCGGCCGAUGCCUGAUUAGCUUGUUGGUGGGGUAAAAGCCCACCAAGGCGACGAUCAGUAGCUGGUAUGAGAGGACGAUCGGCCAGACUGGGACUGGGAGACGGCCCAGACUCGUACGGGAGGCAGCAGUGGGGAAUUUUGGACAAUGGGGGCAACCCUGAUCCAGCAAUGCCGGGUGAGUGAAGAAGGCCUUCGGGCUGUAAAGCUCUUUUGUCAGGGAAGAAACACCGGCUCUAACACAGUCCGGGAAUGACGGUACCUGAAGAAUAAGCACCGGCUAACUACGUGCCAGCCGCCGCAGUAA